rnacentral:lncRNA from 14 species
CGUAGCAGGGGCUGGUUUCACAAGCCUUGUCGCAGGGUUACUCCUCAGAUAACAGCUUCUUAAAAUUCCCCAGGUGUGUGUCCCUGACUGCAAGUGUCUGAGGAGCCCAGAGGUGUCCUCCUGGAAUUGGCGUUAUAGGCAGUUUUGAGUUACCUGAGUGGAAUUCAGGUGCCAGGUAGCCCAACAUCCUUACCGAGGAGAAGCCGUUUGCAGCUCCCAUAAAUACAGAACUUUGAUGCGUGAAUUGUUACCGAGAUGAGCAGGUGCUGGUAGAGUUCUCAGACGAGUCCACAAGUUCUCCAGUUGGCAGAGCUUGACUUUAAUUAAGACAGUUCUGUGUGGGGGAGACGUGUCCCUAUCCCAUAACGGUGCCGGAGAAGAGGAGGAGACACAUUUACGUCUACAACAUGUUUCAUUAAACAAUAGCUGGUUUCCAUA